rnacentral:rRNA from 1 species
UACGAACCGUACAAACGUUAUUCGGAAUCACUGGGCUUAAAGGGUGCGUAGGCGGCCACGUAAGUGAGAUGUGAAAUCCCUCGGCUCAACCGAGGAAGUGCAUUUCAUACUGCAUGGCUUGAGGAGACAGGGUAAGCGGAACUGAUGGUGGAGCGGUGAAUGCGUUGAUAUCAAUCAGGAACACCGGUGGCGAAAGCGGCUUACUGGUCUCUUCUGACGCUGAGGUACGAAGCUAGGA